AAGGCUUGAAAUGUACGGAAAAGCCAUAGAGAUAUGGUGUCCUUCGGGGCCGUAUACAGGUGGUGCAUGGUUGUCGUCAGCUCGUGCCGUGAGGUGUUGGGUUAAGUCCCGCAACGAGCGCAACCCCUGUCCUAUGUUGCCAGCGAGUUAUGUCGGGGACUCUAGGGAGACUGCCGGUGCCAAACCGGAGGAAGGUGGGGAUGACGUUACGGUCUUACU
rnacentral:misc_RNA from 1 species